AUAUCAAUAAGCGGAGGAAAAGAAACCAACAGGGAUUGCCUCAGUAACGGCGAGUGAAGCGGCAAAAGCUCAAAUUUGAAAUCCCCCGGGAAUUGUAAUUUGAAGAGAUUUGGGUCCGGCCGGCAGGGGUUAAGUCCACUGGAAAGUGGCGCCACAGAGGGUGACAGCCCCGUGAACCCCCUUAAAGCCCUCAUCCCAGAUCUCCAAGAGUCGAGUUGUUUGGGAAUGCAGCUCUAAGUGGGUGGUAAAUUCCAUCUAAAGCUAAAUACCGGCGAGAGACCGAUAGCGAACAAGUACAGUGAUGGAAAGAUGAAAAGCACUUUGAAAAGAGAGUGAAAAAGUACGUGAAAUUGUUGAAAGGGAAGGGCUUGCAAGCAGACACUUAACUGGGCCAGCAUCGGGGCGGCGGGGAGCAAAACCACUGGGGAAUGUACCUUUCGAGGAUUAUAACCCCGGUCCUUACUCCCUCACCAUCCCGAGGCCUGCAAUCUAAGGAUGCUGGCGUAAUGGUUGCAAGUCGC
rnacentral:rRNA from 1 species